AUUGAACGCUGGCGGCAGGCUUAACACAUGCAAGUCGAGCGGGGUGAUGGUGCUUGCACUAUCACUUAGCGGCGGACGGGUGAGGAAUGCUUAGGAAUCUGCCUAUUAGUGGGGGACAACAUCUCGAAAGGGAUGCUAAUACCGCAUACGUCCUACGGGAGAAAGCAGGGGAUCACUUGUGACCUUGAGCUAAUAGAUGCGCCUAAGUCGGAUUGGCUAGUUGGCGGGGUAAAGGCCGACCAAGGCGACGAUUUGUAGCGGGUCGGAGAGGAUGGUCCGCCACACUGGGCCGGAGACACGGCGCGUCAGCCUACGGGAGGCAGCAGUGGGGAAUAUUGGACAAUGGGGGGAACCCUGGUCCAGCCAUGCCGCGUGUGUGAAGAAGGCCUUAUGGUUGUAAAGCACUUUAAGCGAGGAGGAGGCUCUUUUGGUUAAUACCCAAGAUGAGUGGACGUUACUCGCAGAAUAAGCACCGGCUAACUCUGUGCCAGCCGCCGCGGUAA
rnacentral:rRNA from 1 species